rnacentral:misc_RNA from 1 species
GAUGAAGAACGUAGUGAAAUGCGAUAAGUAAUGUGAAUUGCAGAAUUCAGUGAAUCAUCGAAUCUUUGAACGCACAUUGCGCCCGCCAGCACUCUGGCGGGCAUGCCUGUUCGAGCGUCAUUUCAACCAUCAAGCCCCCAGGGGCUUGUGCUGGGGCCCUGCGGCUGCCCGCAGGCCCUGAAAACCAGUGGCGGGCUCGCUAGUCACACCGAGCGCAGUAGCACAUCUCGCUCAGGGCGUGCGGCGGGCUCCUGCCGUGAAACCCCCCACUGUAACCCCAAAGGUUGACCUCGGAUCAGGUAGGAAUACCCGCUGAACUUAAGCAUAUCAAUAAGCGGAGA